GUUCUUGAUUGUAGAGGAGAGGCAUAUAUAUACAAAAGGAUAGUGGGCAGGGGUCUGCGAAGUGAUGGGUUGUGACGGAGGAAAGAGCCCUUUUAAGAGAAAGAGGCUGCUGUUGUGUGUAUUAGAUUAGGAAACAAGAUGAACAAGAUCUGUUAACUCAGGAAGGGAGAGAGAGAGAGAGAGAGAGAGAGAGAGAGAGAGAGAGAGAGAGAGAAGAAAGGAGGGGAAGAAAGACAGAGGGGAAGAGCAAGUGGAAGAGAGAAAGAGAGAAAAAGAAGGGAGGGGAAGAGAGAAAGAAGGAAAGUCAAGGGACUGGCCCGAGCCUGCCAGCAGCCUGAGGGGAAUGAGUGGCCAUGGCGGUGCCUAUUGGCAGCAAAGAAGGGCCCAGUCAACCACUGCUGAUGUUUGGGGCUACCGAGGCCAUUGGUGGAGGGAGGCAGACAGGCAAGGGAUGGGCUGGGGCCUGUCAGUGGCCUGAGGGGAAUGAGUGGCCAUGGCGGCAGGGGCAGUGAGGGAGGGCCCGGUCUGCUGCUGCUGCAUCUAUGGGGAGGAGCAGGAGUGGGGUUUGGGUGAGGAGGUCUCUGGGGAGAGGGGGCUGCAGCUUGGCCAAGAGGCACCAGCAACGCUGCAGCCGCAACCAAGAGGGGUGAGGGAGAUAGAGUAAAGGGAUGGAGGAGUGACCAAGAGGGGUGAGGGAGAUGGAAGCAACCAGAUGGAGGAGGAGGAGCAGGAAUGUAGCUCAGGUGAGGGUGGAGAGGGGUUUGGAUAACUUCAUGGAGGAGAAGUCUAUCAACAGCUACUAGUCGGAGGGCUAUAGGCCACCUCCAGCCUCAAAGGCAGGAUGCCUCUGAGUAGCAGUUGCAGGGGCGUAACAGCAGGAGAGAGGGGAUGCCCUCAUCUCCUGCCUGUGGCUUCCGGCGGCAUCUGGUGGGCCACUGUGCGAAACGGGAUGCUGGACUAGAUGGGCCUUGGGCCUGAUCCAGCAGGGCUGUUCUUAUGUUCUUAUGAGAGAUCUCUGAGGGAUAGAGUUAUAUCCAGUUCUCUAAACCCUAGGAAAAAACUGAGCUCAAAAAAAAAAGAAAAAAAGCUCAAGAGUUCCACAGCUCAAGACUUCACAUAGAGGCUGCCCCUAAAAACUUUACAUGCAUUCUUUGCCACUUUGGCCAACCUAACAGAUGUUUCUUCCAUUCUCAAUCAUGUGUAACCAAGCCGAAUGAAGUAUGCUACACAACCAUGAUCUUGAGAGGUGAUCCAAUCUAUGGUCCUGCAAUCCAUGAUUUAUCUUAUGGCUGCUUGAGUGCUGAUCAGCAAGGACAAUGUGGCACAGUCACAAAGAACCCUUCGUCUAACACCGCCACUAUCACAAACUGCUGUGGGGAUAACUAUUGCAAUUUUUUACCUCAAAAUAUGCACAAUUACGAUUACCUAUUUGAGUAAUGAGUUGUUUAUCUUACUAGCCCUGUUCAGGCAUUUAAAUAAAUAUGCUUAGAAAUGCCUAAAGUAGUUUGGAAGUCCCACCCAAGCAUGUCCUUCACUUCCCUCGACCUCAUCACUCACCUUAACA